rnacentral:rRNA from 1 species
GCCUACCAUGCAAGUCGAACGGUAACAGGGAAGCAGCUUGCUGCUUNGCUGACGAGUGGCGGACGGGUGAGUAAUGUCUGGGAAACUGCCUGAUGGAGGGGGAUAACUACUGGAAACGGUAGCUAAUACCGCAUAACGUCGCAAGACCAAAGAGGGGGACCUUCGGGCCUCUUGCCAUCGGAUGUGCCCAGAUGGGAUUAGCUAGUAGGUGGGGUAACGGCUCACCUAGGCGACGAUCCCUAGCUGGUCUGAGAGGAUGACCAGCCACACUGGAACUGAGACACGGUCCAGACUCCUACGGGAGGCAGCAGUGGGGAAUAUUGCACAAUGGGCGCAAGCCUGAUGCAGCCAUGCCGCGUGUAUGAAGAAGGCCUUCGGGUUGUAAAGUACUUUCAGCGGGGAGGAAGGGAGUAAAGUUAAUACCUUUGCUCAUUGACGUUACCCGCAGAAGAAGCACCGGCUAACUCCGUGCCAGCAGCCGCGGUAAUACGGAGGGGUGCAAGCGUUAAUCGGAAUUACUGGGCGUAAAGCGCACGCAGGCGGUUUGUUAAGUCAGAUGUGAAAUCCCCGGGCUCAACCUGGGAACUGCAUCUGAUACUGGCAAGCUUGAGUCUCGUAGAGGGGGGUAGAAUUCCAGGUGUAGCGGUGAAAUGCGUAGAGAUCUGGAGGAAUACCGGUGGCGAAGGCGGCCCCCUGGACGAAGACUGACGCUCAGGUGCGAAAGCGUGGGGAGCAAACAGGAUUAGAUACCCUGGUAGUCCACGCCGUAAACGAUGUCGACUUGGAGGUUGUGCCCUUGAGGCGUGGCUUCCGGAGCUAACGCGUUAAGUCGACCGCCUGGGGAGUACGGCCGCAAGGUUAAAACUCAAAUGAAUUGACGGGGGCCCGCACAAGCGGUGGAGCAUGUGGUUUAAUUCGAUGCAACGCGAAGAACCUUACCUGGUCUUGACAUCCACNGAANUUUUCAGAGAUGNGAAUGUGCCUUCGGGAACNGUGAGACAGGUGCUGCAUGGCUGUCGUCAGCUCGUGUUGUGAAAUGUUGGGUUAAGUCCCGCAACGAGCGCAACCCUUAUCCUUUGUUGCCAGCGGUCCGGCCGGGAACUCAAAGGAGACUGCCAGUGAUAAACUGGAGGAAGGUGGGGAUGACGUCAAGUCAUCAUGGCCCUUACGACCAGGGCUACACACGUGCUACAAUGGCGCAUACAAAGAGAAGCGACCUCGCGAGAGCAAGCGGACCUCAUAAAGUGCGUCGUAGUCCGGAUUGGAGUCUGCAACUCGACUCCAUGAAGUCGGAAUCGCUAGUAAUCGUGGAUCAGAAUGCCACGGUGAAUACGUUCCCGGGCCUUGUACACACCGCCCGUCACACCAUGGGAGUGGGUUGCAAAAGAAGUAGGUAGCUUAACCUUCGGGAGGGCGCUACCACUUU